rnacentral:rRNA from 1 species
UACGUAGGGGGCAAGCGUUGUCCGGAAUCAUUGGGCGUAAAGAGCGUGUAGGCGGCCAGAUAAGUCCGCUGUGAAAUCUCGAGGCUCAACUUCGAGCUGUCGGUGGAAACUGUCUGGCUAGAGUCCGGAAGAGGAGAACGGAAUUCCCGGUGUAGCGGUGAAAUGCGCAGAUAUCGGGAGGAACACCGGUGGCGAAGGCGGUUCUCUGGGCCUGUACUGACGCUGAGGAGCGAAAGCGUGGGGAGCGAACAGG